GGAUUUGGGAAGCAGGCAGCUUGGAUCAAAGUUGGUGAAUAACGCUCUCUUACCCUUGAUUCUGAUGGUGUCCAGGCGGUCGGUGAUCUUCUUCAGCUGAGGGUUGCAUUCACCAAUCUUCAGAAACACAGCCAUGACUGCCAAUCCAUCUGACUGACGAGCUGCCUCGACAAAACUGGAAUAUUUUUCAGCAUUCCAAUGAACUACAUGAAGCUCUGCUGCAUACUUCAUCCCAUCCACAGCGUGCUCAGAGCCAGCCUCGUCAUUGGAACCCCAGUGGAAGUGAAUCUGGCGCAGCCUGUAGGUCCCACAGAGCGGCCCCCCUGUCAGCACUGAUUUGUUCACAGUGUCAUCAAAUUCAACACUGGUGGAGUGCCCGUUGUUCAGGAUGAUUUUAGCAGAAGCUGGAUCGUAAUUGGGAUUUAGAGGACGGAGAGAGGGGUCAUACUUGGUUUCCUCAGUUUUGAUGUCAAUAGGUGACUGGCGGUCUCCAUUAGCGACAGGAAAAACCUCCUUCCAGUGGGCAGGCCCGUUGUGCUCGUCGUAUCCCCAGUGCAGCAUGGCUCCGGCCUCGGGAUGCGACGGGACGAGACGCGAGACGGGAGAAGCGGCCCCGCCGGCCCCUCCGCCCGCU
rnacentral:lncRNA from 1 species